CAACGAGCAAAGUUCUUCGGAACGAGUAUAGCUGGCGAACGGGUGAGUAACGCGUAAGUAUUUACCCUUUAGUGAAGAAUACCCUCGAGAAAUCGAGGUUAAUACUGCAUACGUCCCUUCGGGGAGAAAGGUGGCCUCUUGCUACCGCUAAAGGAUGAGCUUGCGUACUAUUAGCUUGUUGGUGAGGUAAAGGCUCACCAAGGCUAUGAUGGUUAGCCGGCCUGAGAGGGUGACCGGCCACAUUGGGACUGAGAUACGGCCCAGACUCCUACGGGAGGCAGCAGUGGGGAAUCUUGCACAAUGGGCGAAAGCCUGAUGCAGCGACGCCGCGUGGAGGAUGACGGUCUUCGGAUUGUAAACUCCUGUUAAGAGGGAAGAAAGGCGCGUGGUUAAUAUCCGCGCGAGAUGACGGUACCUCUAGAGAAAGCUCCGGCUAACUUCGUGCCAGCAGCCGCGGUAAUACGAAGGGAGCGAGCGUUAUUCGGAAUUACUGGGCGUAAAGUGCGCGUAGGCGGCCUGUUAAGUCAGUUGUUAAAGACCAUGGCUUACCCAUGGAAAAGCAGUUGAUACUGGCGGGCUGAGAGGGCAAGAGAGAGAAGUGGAAUUCUCGGAGUAGCGGUAAAAUGCGUAGAUCUCGAGAGGAACACCGAUGGCGAAGGCAGCUUCUUGGCUUGUACCUGACGCUGAGGCGCGAAAGCGUGGGGAGCAAACAGGAUUAGAUACCCUGGUAGUCCACGCCGUAAACGAUGAUCACUAGAUGUUGGUUUCGCAUAGCGAGAUCAGUGUCAAAGCUAACGCGUUAAGUGAUCCGCCUGGGGGAGUACGGUCGC
rnacentral:rRNA from 1 species